CCCCGCGUGUUCUCUCUCUCGUCCCCGAGCUCUUGCUCUCUCUCUCUCACCUCUGCAACUCCGGUUGCUUUCUCUUUCCGGCCACCAAAAAGCGUAAAACCGGUGGCUACGGACUCGUCUCGACCUCCUCUUGGUGCCUGCGGUGAUGGCUCAUGGCGGCUUGGCCGGAAAAUGACGCAUCGAGCUGUGGAAGUUUCACUGUAGCAGAAGUGGUCAACGCCAGUUUCUCCCGAUUCCGGCCACCUCCGGCGACGAACCAUAAUCAUUUGGAAGCGCCUUGCGAUGUAGAUGAUGCUCCCCAAAUAUUUUGCAGCGAUUUGAAGCGUGGAGGAAGAAUUGAAGGGCAAUGUUGCGAGCUACGGCUAGAUGAAGGAACUCGUUUGCGUGGUCGCCCAUUAGUACUUUUGCAGGCGCUAUUAGUUGAGGUCGGGCGUACAUGGAUCGAGACAUAGUUGACGAAUAGCUUCCGCGCUUCUUUGUUUGGCUCUGAUCUAUUGUGGGUUACUAUUUUGGGUAGUCCUCUUUAGGGGUGACUCGACCAGUUCUCGGUAGAGUUAUCUCUAAGGUGGGCCCCGCAGGGCCACCUCGGAUUUCAGGGUGAAAUUCGGGGCGGGUCCUGUCAAUUUGGUAUCAGAGCAUUAGGUUGUUAGGUUCUGUAGACUCGUUUCUAUUCUGUUACCUUAUAUGCUUGGUGUUGCCCAGUACCUCUCGAGUGAUGGCCCGACUGCAGCGGUUCCCCAUCGUGUACUCUUCGGUACUGUGGUAUACAUCAAGUGUGUAAGGUACAAAGCUAGUUGGUUUUCUUCUGGUGCUAUGCCUCUUGUACGCCGACCUCCUAGGGUUUCCUUUGUGUAUUCGAUUGAUUAAGUGUCUUGCGCCUAUCCCUGGUGAUGGUAGAGUAAAACUACUCUAGAGUUUCGAGUUGUACUACGAAAUGUGAUUCGAGGAAAAUGUUGUGGUUGUCUUUUCCUCGUUGCCAACCAUUUUGUUGGGGCAUGGAUUAUGGUGCGGAAACCAGAGUUCAAGUUUGUGUUUGAGUGUCUGAGACGAGUGACGAUAGCUUUGGGCUGCCUCUGGAUGAUAUAAUUGUUUCGGAAUCAGGAUCGUUGGUGGGAUUGGAACUAAUGGUGGUUUUGACUUGGAACCAAGUUUCGAGGAAACGUGUUUUGUGUUGUGAUUGGUUGUUAUGUAGCAUUUGAAAUAUUAUUGGAAGUUUUUGGUGAUUCUUUGGGAACCUCAGUGUUGGAAACCAUUUACAAGAGGAAAUUGAAUAAAUAUUUUGAAUUUUUAUGGCUAGAUGCCGUGUUUUCAAGUGACUAUGGUCACUGAUAAUGGUGGAGUAUUCUAGUGGUGAUUAAUUCGAGGAAAUUGGAUCGUUAUGUGGUGGGACCACUUUCGGAUCCGAGUGUUGUGGUGUUUGAUACAAGAUAUUGGACGAGUGCCAUUUGUUCUCUAUCAUGGAUACCGUUUAUGGAAGACUUGGUGAAUGGUGUUUUGUCGUCCGGGAAAAUUGUUUGUUGUUUGAGUUUAAUACAUGUAGAGGA